GGACAUUUUAUUAUAUUAAACGUGGAAAACAACUGCAUGCCAGAGUAACGGAGAGACUUUGACAGCCCAGGUUAUCACAGUGCCUGCUGUUGCCACUCAGCUCUCCUAUAUGU
ensembl:snoRNA LOC120099069 small nucleolar RNA SNORA44